GUAAUAGUUCUUCACUAUUUUUCAACGGUGCCUCCUGGCCCUGCGGCCCAGCGAUUACCAUCCGUCAGCUCCGCGCCGCCCUUGCGCCGACCGGACUCCGCGCCCGCCGCGGCUUCUCACCGACUGCCAGCCAAGGAAAGCCCCGCCGCCUCGCGCCGCGUCGCGUCCACGCUACGCUGAUCCGUCAGCGGAGUGAAGUACUAGUAGAGUGUUUCCGGCGGCGGGGCGUUUCAGAGCAAUCUCGACGCCCCUAAACCCUAGGUACGACUCGCCCGGGCCAAGCGCCGAUCCCGGAUCGACCCCUUCGCCGGCGAUGAACCGGCGGCCGGAGCUCUGCAGGAACUACCAGCGCGGCAGCUGCAAGUACGGGGAGCAGUGCAGGUUCGUGCACGCCAACUCCAACCAACACCAGCAGCAGCAGCAGGCGAAGCCCAACCCCUUCGGGUUUGGCGCCGGGAGCAGGCAGCAGCCGCAGCAGUCGUUCGGUGCGCAGUCCCAGCAGUUUCAGCAGCAGCAGCAGAAGCCUAAUCCGUUCGGGUUCGGAGUGCAAGGCGGUGCCGCCCAGCAGCGGAACGAGUCUGGCCCGGCAAAGCCUUUUCAAAAUAAGUGGGUGAGGGAUCCCUCGGCGCCACAGACAAAGCAAGGGGAGGCGCAGCCAGCACCGCAGCCGGCCCACACAUCAUGUACAGACCCUGAGUCCUGCAGGCAGCAGAUAUCUGAUGAUUUCAAGAAUGAGGCUCCCCUGUGGAAGCUUACUUGCUAUGCUCAUCUCAGAAGUGGUCCUUGUGACAUUACGGGGGAUAUUAGCUACGAGGAGCUGAGAGCUAAAGCAUAUGAAGAGGGCAAGCAAGGGAAACCUAUGCAAUCAAUAGUUGAAGGAGAAAGAAAUCUACAAAAUGCGAAGUUGAUGGAGUUCACUAAUUUGCUGAACAAGGCAUGUUCAACACCAAGCUUUCCUACUGCAGGCUCCUUCCCAGAAGUGAAAAAUAACUCAACCUUUGGGAGUUCUCAAACUAAUGGACCACCUGUGUUUAGUAGUUUCAAUCAACUUGGAGCAGCAACAAAUUUUGGAUCUGGGCCAAGAACUGCCGCACCAGGUGUUCCAACCAAUACCAUUUUCGGUCAGCCUACACUUACUUUUGGUCAGUCUACCCAGUCUACUUUUGGUCGGUCUACACAGUCUACUCCAUCGUUUGGUGCCCCUACUUUUGGCAGUACUGGGAUGAAAUUUGGAGUUCCAGAUGCAUUUGGGAGCCAGACGUCAAAGCAAUCAUUUGGGAGUUACCAUAAUUCGAGCAUGUCCAGCAACAACAAUUUUCCGAACUCUAUUUCCUCUAGCCAUCACAGAGACAUUGAUAAGCAGUCAGUAGAAUUACUUAAUGGGAUGACACCUCGUACAAGUGCCAUGGACCAGGCACCUAUUGAAGACAGUAGAAACGAUAAACAGGAUGAUAGCAUUUGGCUGAAAGAGAAAUGGGAAAUUGGACAGAUACCACUGGACGAGCCGCCACAGAGGCAUGUUAGCCAUGUAUUUUAAGAACUGGAGGGAGAAUUUUGCAUUGUGGAGGUAUGAUCCAGUCAGUGCCCUUUAGUGGCCUCUUUCUGUUUAGUUGAGGUGGCAUCAAAGUCUUCUCCUCGCGAGCUCGGUAAUGAUACGGCGAAGCAAGCUAAGCUGGAGAGUGUACAACAAUGUAGAUGAAGGCGGAACGAUUCGAUGCGGUGCUUGGCACCACCUACUUUUGCUUGCCCCCGUUUACGGAAGGCGACUAGAGCUAGAAACCAAACAGUUGAGCAGUCUCAGUAGUAGUACUUCGUAACAUGUGUGUGUGUUUCACGCCUUAUUCAUGAAAUGAUAUAUGGAGGAAAACAAAAAGGAAAAAUUGUGAGGAGUAAA